rnacentral:rRNA from 1 species
AGAGUUUGAUCCUGGCUCAGAUUGAACGCUGGCGGAACGCUUUACACAUGCAAGUCGAACGGUAACAGCGAGGAAAGCUUGCUUUUUUCGGCUGACGAGUGGCGAACGGGUGAGUAAUACAUCGGAACGUGUCCGCUCGUGGGGGACAACCAUCCGAAAGGAUGGCUAAUACCGCAUGAGUUCUACGGAAGAAAGAGGGGGACCUGCUUGCAGGCCUCUCGCGAGCGGAGCGGCCGAUGACUGAUUAGCCGGUUGGUGAGGUAACGGCUCACCAAAGCAACGAUCAGUAGCUGGUCUGAGAGGACGACCAGCCACACUGGGACUGAGACACGGCCCAGACUCCUACGGGAGGCAGCAGUGGGGAAUUUUGGACAAUGGGCGCAAGCCUGAUCCAGCUAUUCCGCGUGUGGGAUGACGGCCCUCGGGUUGUAAACCACUUUAGUAGAGAACGAAAAGGAGCUAUCGAAUAAAUAGCUCUGCUGACGGUACUCUAAGAAUAAGCACCGGCUAACUACGUGCCAGCAGCCGCGGUAAUACGUAGGGUGCGAGCGUUAAUCGGAAUUACUGGGCGUAAAGGGUGUGCAGGCGGCUGAGUAAGACAGAUGUGAAAUCCCCGGGCUUAACCUGGGAACCGCAUAUGUGACUGCUUGGCUAGAGUGCGUCAGAGGGAGGUGGAAUUCCACGUGUAGCAGUGAAAUGCGUAGAUAUGUGGAAGAACACCGAUGGCGAAGGCAGCCUCCUGGGACGCAACUGACGCUCAUACACGAAAGCGUGGGGAGCAAACAGGGUUAGAUACCCUGGUAGUCCACGCCCUAAACGAUGUCAACUAGUUGUUGGGGAUUAAAAUUCUCAGUAACGCAGCCAACGCGUGAAGUUGACCGCCUGGGAAGUACGGUCGCAAGACUAAAACUCAAAGGAAUUGACGGGGACCCGCACAAGCGGUGGAUGAUGUGGAUUAAUUCGAUGCAACGCGAAAAACCUUACCUACCCUUGACAUGUCAGAGAAGCUUUUGUAAUGAGAGUGUGCCCGCAAGGGCGUCUGAACACAGGUGCUGCAUGGCUGUCGUCAGCUCGUGUCGUGAGAUGUUGGGUUAAGUCCCGCAACGAGCGCAACCCUUGUCACUAGUUGCUACGAAAGGGCACUCUAGUGAGACUGCCGGUGACAAACCGGAGGAAGGUGGGGAUGACGUCAAGUCCUCAUGGCCCUUAUGGGUAGGGCUUCACACGUCAUACAAUGGUCGGAACAGAGGGCAGCCAACCCGUGAGGGGGAGCAAAUCCCAGAAAACCGAUCGUAGUCCGGAUUGCAGUCUGCAUCUCGACUGCAUGAAGUCGGAAUCGCUAGUAAUCGCGGAUCAGCAUGCCGCGGUGAAUACGUUCCCAGGUCUUGCACUCACCGCCCGUCA